CUGGAAGCCAUUUGGAAUUCUACCCAUUAUCCCCCAUAACAGUGCGCCUGCGCACUGAGGAGAGACAUAAAGGAGGGCAAAUAAUCAGUGGAAGCAAGCAGAGGACGGCAAAGCAGACAACGGAAUAGCUUCUUUUA